rnacentral:sRNA from 1 species
UCGAUGAAGAACGUAGCGAAAUGCGAUACUUGGUGUGAAUUGCAGAAUCCCGUGAACCAUCGAGUCUUUGAACGCAAGUUGCGCCCGAGGCCUCCUGGUCGAGGGCACGUCUGCCUGGGUGUCA